UACGGGGGGAGCAAGCGUUGUUCGGAUUUACUGGGCGUAAAGGGCGCGUAGGCGGCAAGUCAAGUCAGCUGUUAAAUCUCCGAGCUUAACUCGGAACGGUCAGCUGAUACUGUUUUGCUAGAGUACAGAAGGGGCAAUCGGAAUUCUUGGUGUAGCGGUGAAAUGCGUAGAUAUCAAGAGGAACACCUGAGGUGAAGACGGGUUGCUGGGCUGAUACUGACGCUGAGGCGCGACAGCUAGGGUAGCAAACGGG
rnacentral:rRNA from 1 species